GCAGAAAAACUAUUAUAAAGAAACUGAAAUCUUAAUAAAUUUAACCAGGUGUGAUGGCAGGCACCUCUGAUUCCAGCUACUUGGGAAGCUCAGGCGGGGGCCUCACUUGAGCUUGGGAAGUUGAGGCUGCAGUGAGCUGUGAUUGUGACACUACACGCUAGCCCGGGCAACAGAACGAGAAAAAGAAACAAGAAUCUGGAAUCUUACAAGGAUCCAAGAUGUCAGGGAAUAAUGAGCUCUCUGAAAGGUCUAAAGUUGAUUUUGCUUCAGACUAUCAGAAAGACGCUGGGGAGACAUCAGCACAGGCCUGGAGGGGAGCAAAUACAUACAUCGCUUAUAGAAACACCAAAUAUUCUUACAUGAUUUUUGGAAUAGACUUGACUCCAGGGAUAGUUUUAGAGUCAGAGGAACCUCAUCCCAUGGCCACAACCAUCUCAGGCUCAUGA
rnacentral:lncRNA from 1 species